AGAUAAUAGAUACCCAGGUAGUCCACGCCCUAAACGAUGCAUAUUUGGUGUGGGCAGUUCAUUCUGUCCGUGCCGGAGCUAACGCGUUAAAUAUGCCGCCUGGGGAGUACAGUCGCAAGGCUGAAACUCAAAGGAAUUGACGGGGGCCCGCACAAGCGGUGGAGCAUGUGGUUCAAUUCGACGCAACGCGAAGAACCUUACCUGGGCUCGAACGGCUGAUCAACGGCGGUGGAAACAUCGCUACCCCGCAAGGGGGUUCAGUCGAGGUGCUGCAUGGCUGUCGUCAGCUCGUGUCGUGAGAUGUUGGGUUAAGUCCCGCAACGAGCGCAACCCUUGUCCUGUGUUGCCAUACCGAAAGGUGGAACUCGCAGGAGACCGCCAGGGAUAACCUGGAGGAAGGUGGGGAUGACGUCAAGUCCUCAUGGCCUUUAUGUCCAGGGCUACACACGUGCUACAAUGGACGGUACAAAGCGCAGCGAACUCGCGAGAGGGAGCCAAUCGCAAAAAACCGUUCUCAGUUCGGAUUGCA
rnacentral:rRNA from 1 species